GGUUAAGCGACUAAGCGUACACGGUGGAUGCCCUGGCAGUCAGAGGCGAUGAAGGACGUGCUAAUCUGCGAUAAGCGUCGGUAAGGUGAUAUGAACCGUUAUAACCGGCGAUUUCCGAAUGGGGAAACCCAGUGUGAUUCGUCACACUAUCAUUAACUGAAUCCAUAGGUUAAUGAGGCGAACCGGGGGAACUGAAACAUCUAAGUACCCCGAGGAAAAGAAAUCAACCGAGAUUCCCCCAGUAGCGGCGAGCGAACGGGGAGCAGCCCAGAGCCUGAAUCAGUGUGUGUGUUAGUGGAAGCGUCUGGAAAGGCGCGCGAUACAGGGUGACAGCCCCGUACACAAAAAUGCACAUGCUGUGAGCUCGAUGAGUAGGGCGGGACACGUGGUAUCCUGUCUGAAUAUGGGGGGACCAUCCUCCAAGGCUAAAUACUCCUGACUGACCGAUAGUGAACCAGUACCGUGAGGGAAAGGCGAAAAGAACCCCGGCGAGGGGAGUGAAAAAGAACCUGAAACCGUGUACGUACAAGCAGUGGGAGCACGCUUAGGCGUGUGACUGCGUACCUUUUGUAUAAUGGGUCAGCGACUUAUAUUCUGUAGCAAGGUUAACCGAAUAGGGGAGCCGAAGGGAAACCGAGUCUUAACUGGGCGUUAAGUUGCAGGGUAUAGACCCGAAACCCGGUGAUCUAGCCAUGGGCAGGUUGAAGGUUGGGUAACACUAACUGGAGGACCGAACCGACUAAUGUUGAAAAAUUAGCGGAUGACUUGUGGCUGGGGGUGAAAGGCCAAUCAAACCGGGAGAUAGCUGGUUCUCCCCGAAAGCUAUUUAGGUAGCGCCUCGUGAAUUCAUCUCCGGGGGUAGAGCACUGUUUCGGCAAGGGGGUCAUCCCGACUUACCAACCCGAUGCAAACUGCGAAUACCGGAGAAUGUUAUCACGGGAGACACACGGCGGGUGCUAACGUCCGUCGUGAAGAGGGAAACAACCCAGACCGCCAGCUAAGGUCCCAAAGUCAUGGUUAAGUGGGAAACGAUGUGGGAAGGCCCAGACAGCCAGGAUGUUGGCUUAGAAGCAGCCAUCAUUUAAAGAAAGCGUAAUAGCUCACUGGUCGAGUCGGCCUGCGCGGAAGAUGUAACGGGGCUAAACCAUGCACCGAAGCUGCGGCAGCGACGCUGAUGCGUUGUUGGGUAGGGGAGCGUUCUGUAAGCCUGCGAAGGUGUGCUGUGAGGCAUGCUGGAGGUAUCAGAAGUGCGAAUGCUGACAUAAGUAACGAUAAAGCGGGUGAAAAGCCCGCUCGCCGGAAGACCAAGGGUUCCUGUCCAACGUUAAUCGGGGCAGGGUGAGUCGACCCCUAAGGCGAGGCCGAAAGGCGUAGUCGAUGGGAAACAGGUUAAUAUUCCUGUACUUGGUGUUACUGCGAAGGGGGGACGGAGAAGGCUAUGUUGGCCGGGCGACGGUUGUCCCGGUUUAAGCGUGUAGGCUGGUUUUCCAGGCAAAUCCGGAAAAUCAAGGCUGAGGCGUGAUGACGAGGCACUACGGUGCUGAAGCAACAAAUGCCCUGCUUCCAGGAAAAGCCUCUAAGCAUCAGGUAACAUCAAAUCGUACCCCAAACCGACACAGGUGGUCAGGUAGAGAAUACCAAGGCGCUUGAGAGAACUCGGGUGAAGGAACUAGGCAAAAUGGUGCCGUAACUUCGGGAGAAGGCACGCUGAUAUGNNNNNNNNNNNNNNNNNNNNNNNNNNNNNNNNNNNNNNNNNNNNNNNNNNNNNNNNNNNNNNNNNNNNNNNNNNNNNNNNNNNNNNNNNNNNNNNNGAUGGAGCUGAAAUCAGUCGAAGAUACCAGCUGGCUGCAACUGUUUAUUAAAAACACAGCACUGUGCAAACACGAAAGUGGACGUAUACGGUGUGACGCCUGCCCGGUGCCGGAAGGUUAAUUGAUGGGGUCAGCGCAAGCGAAGCUCUUGAUCGAAGCCCCGGUAAACGGCGGCCGUAACUAUAACGGUCCUAAGGUAGCGAAAUUCCUUGUCGGGUAAGUUCCGACCUGCACGAAUGGCGUAAUGAUGGCCAGGCUGUCUCCACCCGAGACUCAGUGAAAUUGAACUCGCUGUGAAGAUGCAGUGUACCCGCGGCAAGACGGAAAGACCCCGUGAACCUUUACUAUAGCUUGACACUGAACAUUGAGCCUUGAUGUGUAGGAUAGGUGGGAGGCUUUGAAGUGUGGACGCCAGUCUGCAUGGAGCCGACCUUGAAAUACCACCCUUUAAUGUUUGAUGUUCUAACGUUGACCCGUAAUCCGGGUUGCGGACAGUGUCUGGUGGGUAGUUUGACUGGGGCGGUCUCCUCCUAAAGAGUAACGGAGGAGCACGAAGGUUGGCUAAUCCUGGUCGGACAUCAGGAGGUUAGUGCAAUGGCAUAAGCCAGCUUGACUGCGAGCGUGACGGCGCGAGCAGGUGCGAAAGCAGGUCAUAGUGAUCCGGUGGUUCUGAAUGGAAGGGCCAUCGCUCAACGGAUAAAAGGUACUCCGGGGAUAACAGGCUGAUACCGCCCAAGAGUUCAUAUCGACGGCGGUGUUUGGCACCUCGAUGUCGGCUCAUCACAUCCUGGGGCUGAAGUAGGUCCCAAGGGUAUGGCUGUUCGCCAUUUAAAGUGGUACGCGAGCUGGGUUUAGAACGUCGUGAGACAGUUCGGUCCCUAUCUGCCGUGGGCGCUGGAGAACUGAGGGGGGCUGCUCCUAGUACGAGAGGACCGGAGUGGACGCAUCACUGGUGUUCGGGUUGUCAUGCCAAUGGCACUGCCCGGUAGCUAAAUGCGGAAGAGAUAAGUGCUGAAAGCAUCUAAGCACGAAACUUGCCCCGAGAUGAGUUCUCCCUGACUCCUUGAGAGUCCUGAAGGAACGUUGAAGACGACGACGUUGAUAGGCCGGGUGUGUAAGCGCAGCGAUGCGUUGAGCUAACCGGUACUAAUGAACCGUGAGGCUUAACCUU
rnacentral:rRNA from 1 species